AGGACGAACGCUGGCGGCGCGCUUAACACAUGCAAGUCGAGCGAGAACCAGGGCUUCGGCUCUGGGGACAGCGGCGAACGGGUGAGUAACACGUGAGUAAUCUGCCCUCGACACUGGGAUAGCCCGGGGAAACCCGGAUUAAUACCGGAUAGCCUUUCGGAGCUCUCGGACUCGUCAGAAAAGGAUGGCUUCGGCUUUCGGUUGAGGAUGAGCUUGCGGCGGAUUAGCUUGUUGGUGAGGUAACGGCUCACCAAGGCGACAAUCCGUAGCUGGUCUGAGAGGACGAUCAGCCACACUGGGACUGAGACACGGCCCAGACUCCUACGGGAGCAGCAGUGGGGAAUCUUGCGCAAUGAGCGAAAGCUUGACGCAGCGACGCCGCGUGACGGGAAGAAGGCCUU
rnacentral:rRNA from 1 species